GUAUAUUUUUAGAUCAAACAACCAAUCAAUAAAGGGUUAGAAAUAUCCAUUCUCAAUUUAUCUAACUCCUCAAAGUGUCAGAUAUCCAUUUUAUAAUAAGAGAAGAAAAGCCAUAGAUCUAUAUAUCGUAUAUGGUAUGUGAAUCAACGCACCAGAAAUAAGAAUAUAGAGUCAGACCCUGAAAGGGACUAACAGUGCUAAAAUGUGAUAUGUGGAAAUCGUGCAAUAAAGGGAUCUAAAUGGUCCAAAAGUGUGAACAAUAUGUUAAAGUGUAAAUUUAAAGUGCCAGUUGCUUUCAAGUAUAAUAUUGUAAAGUGCAAAAAAUAGGGCUUUCAAAGUUGAAGCAAAGUGCCAAAGUAAAUGCUAAAAUAGCAGUGGAGAUGAAGUGAACAAUAUUGUUUAAAGUUACGUAAAACUGGGUAACUGGGGUUAAGGCUAUAGAGAAAAAGGCCUAUGAGCAGGUAUAAAGACUAAUGUUCCCA